CUCACAACCAAACCUGUCCAUUUGACUGACAGCAGCAUUCUGUUAACACGCCCUCUCUUCUGGAACUGUGCCCUGUGCUCGUUGGCUUUGGCUCUCACUGUCGUCAGACUCAAUACCCAUCUCUGUUCAAGAGGAAAUGUUUUUAGUUGUGAACUAAACUAUUCUUGCUGCGGCUGGCAGAGUUCUCAGGUGACACCAAGAUUCCUGCCCACCACACCCUGCCCUGUGUGAUCUUCUCCCUUUGGGCAUGGGUGUCCUGACCUCAUCAGUCACCCAGGAGACACACCUCUGAAUAUGUUUGUGAGGGCAUUUCCAGGAAGGACUGACAUCAGGAGAGAGGGAACCUAUCUCAAAACAGGCAUCUUGGAACAGGCAGCUCAGAGUUCUGGGGAGCAGGCAGUGUCCCUGAGGAAGCGCGUCUGCGGUGGCUGUCUCCCUCCUCCACUGACAUCAGAUUCCAGCUUCUUUGGCCUUCCAACCUGUUCUCAACAGUAGUGACUCUCCAGGGAGCUUCUGGACUUUCAACACUGGCCUGGGACUGCUGAGACAUUCAGGCUCUGGAAUGGGAAGCUACAGUUCUUAACCUCUGAAACUUGCAGACGGCCAUUGUUAGGUUGCCCAGCCCCUACAGUGUAAGCCAUUCUAAU